AAAAAAAGUUUAAAAAAUAAAGCCGCUAACUUUAACUAUUAUACUAAUUAAGUAUGAAAACUUUU
rnacentral:tRNA from 1 species